rnacentral:sRNA from 1 species
AAUCUACAUAACCUUACAAAAAAAACCAAACCACCCCUCCGACCUCACUCAUUACUUUUCUUUCUCGUAGAAAAAUUAAGAGGAAGAAAAACCCUAAAUCCUUUCAAAAAUCAAUUAACCUCUAUCUCCUUCUGUUUCAGAGACUAGUCUUAAUUUUCGCAUCCAAAAGAACUUCUAUUUCAGACUGUCAUGACACCCUACUCGUCAAGCCCUUUGGAGCGGUACCCGAUACCGUGGCGCGUUACCACACUCACGCGGUGGCGGAAAACCAGUGCUUCUCGGCGGUGGUGCAGGAGAUCGCCGCCUCCGUGGCCACCGUGUGGUCCGUCGUGCGGCGCUUCGACAACCCACAGGCCUACAAGCACUUCGUGAAGAGCUGCCACGUCAUCGGAGGCGACGGCGACGUCGGGACACUCCGGGAAGUCCACGUCAUCUCCGGCCUUCCGGCAGCGCGGAGCACCGAGCGCCUCGAGAUUCUAGACGAUGAGCGCCACGUCAUCAGUUUCAGCGUUGUCGGCGGGGACCACCGCCUCUCCAACUACCGCUCCGUCACCACCCUCCAUCCCGCCGCUGCCGGUUCCGGGACGGUGGUUGUGGAGUCCUUCGUGGUGGACGUGCCACCCGGGAACACGCCCGAAGACACGCGCGUGUUCGUCGACACAAUCGUAAGGUGCAACCUUCAGUCACUUGCGCAAACCUCGGAGAACUUAACGCCACAGAACAACAACAUCAAUGACAACACCAACAAUUACAAGUUCAGUUCCUAAAUUUUUC